rnacentral:lncRNA from 10 species
UCAGGGAACAGUCUGGUAGAAAACAGUAAGCAACUAAGCAAAUCAUGUAGGAAAAGGCAAGGAUACUGUGACAGAGAAUAGUUAGGAAGCCAGCCAUGUGGUGAGUACAGUUGACCCUUGAACAACACAGGUUUGGACUAUGGGGUCUACUCAUAAUAAUACAUGAAUUUUCUCUGUUUCUGCCACCCCUGAGACAGCAAGACCAACCAGACACUCCUUUUCCUCCUUGUCCUCAGCCUACUCAACGUGAAGACAAUGAGAAGCCCUUUGUGAUGAUCCACGUCCACCUAAUGAAUAACCAAGUCAUCUGACUCCAACCUAACUCUGGGAAACUGAGAAAUGGCUUCUGUGUGCUCAGGAAGAAGAAACAGAUGGGAUUGGUGAGCAUCUAGCCAAUUUCCACCACAAAUGCUCAUUUUGGCUGCCUCCAGGCCAAAGGUAAAAACUAAAAAGCCAGAGAAUACUAAAUGUUGGCCAAGAUGAGGAAAACAGAAACUCUCAUCCUCUGCUAGUUGGAAUGAAAAUUGAUGCAACGUCCCUGGAAAACAGUUUGGUAUUACCUAGCAAAGUAGAACCUGUGCCUCCCCUACAACCCAGCAAUUCCACUC